GCAGGCUGCAACUCGCCUGCAUGAAGUCGGAAUUGCUGUAAUCGCAGAUCAGCAUGCUGCGGUGAAUACGUUCCCGGGCCUUGUACACACCGCCCGUCACACCAUGGGAGUCGGUAACACCCGAAGUCGGUAGCCUAACCGUAAGGAGGGCGCCGCCGAAGGUGGGAUUGAUGACUGGGGUGAAGUCGUAACAAGGUAUC
rnacentral:rRNA from 1 species